CGAAAGCCUGACGCAGCGACGCCGCGUGGGGGAUGAAGGUCUUCGGAUUGUAAACCCCUUCGGGAGGGAAGAUGGGAUGGGGUAACCCAUUCGGACGGUACCUCCAGAAGCAGCCACGGCUAACUUCGUGCCAGCAGCCGCGGUAAUACGAAGGUGGCAAGCGUUGUUCGGAUUUACUGGGCGUACAGGGAGCGUAGGCGGUUGGAUAAGCCCUCCGUGAAAUCUCCAGGCUUAACCUGGAAAGUGCAGAGGGGACUGUUCAGCUAGAGGAUGGGAGAGGAGCGCGGAAUUCCCGGUGUAGCGGUGAAAUGCGUAGAGAUCGGGAGGAAGGCCGGUGGCGAAGGCGGCGCUCUGGAACAUUUCUGACGCUGAGGCUCGAAAGCGUGGGGAGCAAACAGGAUUAGAUACCCUGGUAGUCCACGCCUUAAACGAUGGAUACUAAGUGUCGGCGGGUUACCGCCGGUGCCGCAGCUAACGCAGUAAGUAUCCCGCCUGGGAAGUACGGCCGCAAGGUUG
rnacentral:rRNA from 1 species